GGAGAUUCGGAGGUUUCGCUGCGCACCUGCUUUGCACGCAGGGGGUCGCGGGUUCAAAUCCCGCCGUCUCCACCA
rnacentral:tRNA from 1 species